rnacentral:rRNA from 1 species
AACGAACGCUGGCGGCGUGCCUAACACAUGCAAGUCGAGCGAGAAAGGGACCUUCGGGUCCUGAGUAAAGCGGCGAACGGGUGAGUAACACGCGAGUAACGUACCUCCGAGCGGGGGAUAACUACUCGAAAGGGUAGCUAAUACCGCAUGAGACCACAGAGGCUUCGGCCACAGGGGUCAAAGGCUUCGGCCACUCGGAGAUCGGCUCGCGGCCCAUUAGGUAGUUGGUGAGGUAACGGCUCACCAAGCCUCAGAUGGGUAGCUGGUCUGAGAGGAUGAUCAGCCACACUGGGACUGAGACACGGCCCAGACUCCUACGGGAGGCAGCAAUGGGGAAUCUUGCGCAAUGGGCGAAAGCCUGACGCAGCAACGCCGCGUGUGUGAUGAAGGCUCUCGGGUCGUAAAGCACUGUCAGGAGGGAAGAAACAAAUGACGGUACCUCCAAAGGAAGCACCGGCUAACUCCGUGCCAGCAGCCGCGGUAAUACGGAGGGUGC